UGAGGCCGAGGUGGGUUCCAACAAUGCAAGGCGGCCGGCGGCUUCUGCGCAGGCGCUGUAAGAACCGAUGUGAUGGGACUCGGUAAUUUGGCAAGGUGUUCCCAUCCCAGCUGCUUUCGAUCCACAAGUAAAGUCAGCCCCUUGCUCUCCACCGCGUUGUAGGAUUGGCAGGAAUGGACAGUGGUUUCCCUUUGUGCAUUGACAGAGACAAGGAAGAGACCCUGCCAACCUCUCAGAAGCAAAACAGAAGACCAAGCUCUGCCUCUCUGUUGCUGGCCUCUGUCUUGGGUCCUGGAAGCCAGGCCUGAGGGAGUGAAAACACCAGAUUAAGUGUCUGGAGGCAGAUAAGUCUCAGAACAGCCCGCUCUUACAGGCAAGACUAUGUUUGGGGUCAGGCGAUAGACCUCUUAUUAAACCAUUGUGAUUUUGCCUAUCAUUGUACCAUUUACAAAAGCCAGUGUCACAUUCACCAUUUCACUUGCUCAAAAAAGCAGUGGCAAUGUGGUCUGAAGCUUGUGAUUUAAUUCCGGAAGUCAUGAUAGAUCAGCCACUACAGUUCUAUUGCUAUUUUUAAGGGUGAUAAUGUUAAAGAACUUCUUGUACGCUUUACAGUGUAUCAAAACCAUUUUCAUUAUUUAAAUCCUUUGGGUAGGGGUGCCUGGGUGGUUCAGCUGGUUAAUCAUCUGCCUUAGGCUCAGGUCAAGAUCCCAAAGUCCUGGGAUCGAGUCCUGCACUUGGCUCCUUGCUCAGCAAGGAGCCUGCUUUUCCCACUGCCUGCUGCUCAGUCUCUCUCUCUCUCUCUGAUUAAAUAAAUAAAUCAUUUGGGUAA